GAGAUAAUAAGAGGCACAAUCCAUCAAACUUUUUGACAGGUGACCUUUGACCUUUGCUAGGUGCCUUUUUUGACCCCUCCCCCACACCACGUGCCUCUAAUUUCUGGAAUGUGACCUUUGACCCCUCAGAUCACCCUAUGAUGACAUCUGUUAGUAAUUAUGUUUUCAUUCAUCUGUAAUUACCUUUGACCUUUGCCAUGUGCCCUUUGACCCCUCCCACACCCCGUGCCUCCUUUUCUGGAAUGUGACAUUUGACCCCUCAGAUCACCCUAUGAUGCUGUCAGUUAGUAAUUAUGUUUUCAAUCAUCUGUAAUUACCAUUGACCCCUCAGAUCCCCUGACCCUUGAACUCUCUUAAUUAUUUUUCUGAUAUCAAUGACCACGAGUCUCCGGUAAUUAUUAACUGGUGGUGUGUAAUUACCCCUGCCAUUCGUCAUUCAUGUUUUGGAUAUGAGGUAAUUUAAACCAUGGUGACACACCGCCCCGCCCAUCCCUCCGCCCUUCCUGCCCCAUCCCCACCUCUUCCCGUCCCGCCCAGCCCCGCCCCCAUCAUUAUUCAGAUUGUCCUGAUUGGUCAAAAAAAAUAUUCCCGCCAAAAGUAUUGACCAAUAAGGUUGUUAUUCCUAUGGAGCAAUCACAGCAAGCCUACGAGUGAAAUGUGUAUUUAAGAGAUAGGGGUUAGCGAGAUGUGUGAAGGACCGAGAGAACGGAGCAAUGGCUUGUGUUUCUGAGGUUGCUGAAAACCAAAGCUUCCCAUACCGGGAUUCGAACCCGGACCGUCUGGAUGAAAGCCAGAAAUCCUACGCGUUAGACCAUAUGGGAGGAUCUGUAGAAGAAGAGCACGAUGACGAGAAUCUAAAAAGGAUCAGAAUGUUUCAUUGUUGAAACUGUGACAGACUGUGAUGCUGUGACAGACGAAAGUGUGCUAUAUCAUACAUUUCAAACCUCGUCUCUCUCCUUCCCUUUCUGACCUGGACCUGGAUGCUUCAGUGCCCUGACUACAGAUAAACAGCAGAAUAGUUUAAUAAUGAGGAAAACUGACCAAAGUGGCAGGACAGUACAAAUAAAGAUGUUAUUGACAUUUAAGGGAAUGAACAUACAGAUUAUACAAUAGCCAAGAACUCCCAUCCAUGCAGCAGCAGAACAUGCCAGCCUGUAUCUCAGGGGCUUGUACUUCAGGAAAGUGACAGGAUGGACCACCGCCAUGUAACGCUCCACACAGAUCAAACAGAGAAACAGAGGAUGGGCGCAGAUAAAUACUCCCCCAUAAAAACUACUAAUGGUGUAAAUUCUAAACAGACAAAACUAAGAACGUAGAAUAAACAGCGUAUGCAGAUGAACAUCUCGUUAACAGUCAGAUUGAGGCCGAAAAACUCAGACACAACCGCACUUCCUUUUCUCAUCAAAAUAAGCCAUAAGACGUAGGAAUUGAUAGGUAAACCCACAAUGAAAUUGAUUGCAUAACCUGGAAUGUACAUAGGGUCUGUAUAUCCUGCCCAAGGAUUCCUGCUUGUAGCAUUUCUAAACAGGUUUGAGAUGGGUGUGCUGGAAAGCCCAUCAGAGACGUUCAUCUUCAGAGUGCACACCCCUUCUCACAAUAAAAUAUGAAAUCUGAAAUAAAUUACACAAAGAAAAUUAUAUAAGGGCCAAAUAUAAUGAAACAAACAGCCUGUUUUCUUUAUCAGAACAAAUUCAUUGUAUAGUGUUUUUUUGUGCAUAGAUCUAGAUCAACAUAGAUCUAAAGUGUUCAGUUGAUAUAGUCAUGAUAAAUUUCAUAACUACCAUAGUAAACCAUAGUAAUGAUAGUACAGUUAAAAAGUGAUCUCACCUUUCAGUCAUAAACAGAAUGCAGGAUACCACAAGAAGAAUACAUUAGUAUAUUAAUUUAAUGGACUGACUAAUUAUCAAUUCACAUUAGUUUAAACAUUAUUAAUCAUUAUAUUUUAACUUAAUUAAAUUCUAAAUUCAUUAUAAUUUACAGCAUUCUUAAGCCUAAAAUUGUACAAAUUAGUGUUGUGUAAAAUGUCUAGUAUUAUUUAACAAUGUUCAUUACUGUCAUAAGUACUGUGAUGCAUCCUUCCUGUAAAUUGUUUCUGAGUUCAGCAUUGUUGAGAACUGCACCCUUAAAAUGAUCAGUGUAUUGUUCUGAGAACAGCAACAUCUUUAUCUGAUACACAGAUGCUCUUCUUUGUCAUCAGUUUCAACUUAAAGUGAUGUUUAUUUGAUGGGGUAGGAUUUGGUGGUCUACUAGGUUUUGUAUAGUUAUUAGGGUUUCUCUAUAAUAUUAAAUAAAUAAAAUCUAAUUAAAUCCAAGCUCAAAUGUUACACAAUAAAUGGUAAAUAAAUUGAUUCUUAUGAGUUUUUCUACUACUGUAAAUAUGCCAUUUUAAAUACAACAGCAUUAAUAUACAAUAACCUUUUUUCAAAUCAUUAUGUAUAUAUUUUACUUUAAAGUAAGUAAACGUCAGAAGAUAUUCCAUAAUAAAAAUAUAUAUAUUUCUUAAUGCAUACGUACUGUAUAGGCAGAAAAAACUUUAGUUCCAUAAGUAGUCAAGAAAAGCAGACAUCUGGCUAAUUUACCAUAAAAGGCAUCUGUUUGAGUGUGUGUGUGUGUGUGUGUGUGUGUGUGUGUGUGUGUGUGUGUGUGUGUGUGUGUGACUUUAUUUAAUUUAUGACAUGUGAUUUUUCAUGCAUUUAAAUGUAUGCUAAGCUAAUGUCAGUAAGGUAAAUGCCAGUAAUGUUUGACAUGAAGGGUAGCAGUUUUAUGUAGCAUACAUCAAUGUAAAUUCAAUAAAUAUUGACUAAAUGCAAUAAAAAAAUUCAAACAAAAAAACUUUUCAUGUGAUGUAAACUACAUCCAACAUCAACAAAAAUAAAAUCUACAGCCAGAGUUAUGUGGUUAUGUGACAGUCCUUUCAGUUAUAGGCAGUUCAGUUAUAAGCAUUAAUAUACUGUAUGACGUGUACUAUUUUAAUG